UUUCGUGGGGAUCGCCGUCAGUCAGCGCGUUGCGCCCACUGGCGCGAUUCGU
rnacentral:sRNA from 1 species